CGGAAGGAAUAUCGCAACCGGACCGAUUACUGUCAAACCAUUAGUUGUCAGUUUGAAUCUAUCCGGUUUCCCUUCGAAAUCUGUUGGAUUUUCCUGACAAUUUCUCCGCUGCCAUACAAUGACAGAUAUCGAAAUCGAUCAGUUUGAUUCGGUUCGGAUUUGCGUCGAGUUCUGUCAGUUUUGCUUGAAGGGCCUGUCAUUCGAAAACGAUCGAUUUUGUUUUUGCAUCGCAGCAACGGUUUUCGCAAUAUUUUUUCUGUCGUCGGUUCGAUUGCGAGUACCUACGCCAUAUAGAAAGAUUCUACCGCGAAACAACGAACGCAAAGGGCAGCCCGGUAAAUCCAGUCGGGAACAGCAGACCGGAUGUGUUCAACAGAUACCAGCGGUUCCAGGGACUUAACCCUGGAACGCUUCGUAAGAUUAGUAUUGUCAGUGACGAUGGUAAUAAUCCGGUGGUUUGAUCACCAAGGCCCGCCAAGCACCAUUCCUGCAACAUUUGUUACAUUAGAAUUCUAAUCAAAUCUAAUUGCUACCGUUUGACGAAGUUCCGACAACAACAGUACCUGGGCGUCUAUCUCAAUGUUAGCAAAGCCGGGGAAUCCCUGCUGCAUUAUUCGAAGCGGGAACGGGAAACCUAACAGACCUAAAAGAAUGCCGUUGCCUUGGACCCCCAUAGAAAAUUCGUACCCGAAAAGAAAGAGGCUCCUUAGAAACUUCAGCGAUUCCAAAAGAAGAGGCAUCAUCGAGCUCCGAAUCCAGUUCGGAGAAUGAAGAUGAAGCUUCUGCCCCGGUGAGGAAACCGUCGAUAGAUCCGAACAGACGUCAACAGUUGGUACGCGAAUUGAACCAGGAAACCUACAUCGAUCAUGGGAAACUUAGAAUCGUUACUAUCAGGUGGCAGUGAUCAACGAUCAGAGUAAAAUCCGCCGAAAGGUUCCUACCAGCCGUCAUCCGAGCUCCGAAGGGCAGUCAGCGGAAGCAAAGUUUGAGCAAGAAAACGGAUUCUUACGAACAGCAGAAGUUGACAACCUGUUGACAAAGCUGCACUAACCCUAAAUAUGACCGGGAAAUGAAAUACGAUUGUUUUCGAUGAUGGUGAAGAAGGGAUGGUCAAAAACCUAAACGAAUCAACAACAACAACAACGUCAACAAAACUCCAACAAUCCCACACUGCUGAAAAAGAUCCUUCGCAUACCGAUACACAAAUUGCAGCGAACCUCAAUAGAUUCUACCUUCGGAGAUUUCAAGGAUAGUGCCACAACAACGGGAACGGCAUCAUAUAUGUUCGAUGAGAAUGAAUACUUGGUCCAGGAAAAAAUGAAACGAUUACUUGUCGAAGUUUGCAAACAAAAACCGUAAUCGCUCAAACAAGUCAGUCUUUGAACCUGUGCGCAACCACCAUAUAUUUUUACGGAUCACACACAGACGUCAAACGAUCUUAGACGAAGUGAGCAGCUCGAGCUACCCGAACGCUUCGAUGUGGUUAUCGAACAGAUUAAGGCAAAUUCAGUCCGGAUGAGGGUACAACAUGUACAACAAAAGUGAUACCAAUAAUUUAGAGGAUCUAUUCCAAUAUGAUGUCGAUCGACGUGUGGAUGAUGUGCAUUAUUUGGACAAAGAUUCCCAAAAUAUUAGUUUGAAUAGGAUGGUACUGAUAGUUAACUCGACUUCCUGGUGCUGUUUGUACACAUAAAAAAGAAGGUUGAACUAUACAUGGAUGAUGUCAAAAUAAACUUGCCAGAACUGCAAUCCAUUGUGUACUCAAUAUCGAUUCCUGGGGCGCUGGCGUAAAGCUGUGAGAAAUGAACAAAGACUCCCCUGUAGUAUCGCCACUUAUUCAAAGGUUGUCUAGUUUUCAUUUUGUUCAUCAAAGCAACACUCGAUGUUAUAGGGAACAACAACAAAACAUUCUUCUUCAAACUAUCAGCAAGAGCUAACGGUUUAGUUAGCAGAUCCUUUUCUUGGAUACUACAUUUGGCGACGAGGAGAAAAAUGGAUAAUCCAUUUGAAGGUGUACGUGCGCGAGUUAUUUGCAAAAUUCUGCCGUGGGGACCGGAUAUACCUGCUACCUGCGAGAUAACUUGCUAAGUGCAAACAAUCUUCUGCUACUUGCUCCGAACCAAGCGAACAAGGACGGAACCAGAACUUACAAAACGCCGGACAUGUAUCAACUGUCACGGGGAGAAAAACUGCUAAGCUGCUCCGAACUUUCGGCAACAAGCGUGUCUCGACCGACAAUUUGCCACAAAAACUUCCGAGAAGGUAAAGAAAGUAGUAAGUUCUCCCGAUAAGCUUGAUUCCGCUGGGGCUCAUCAUCGAACCAGAUCAUUAAGAACAGCAACAACUUCCACAAACUCAACUCAAGGGCUCAGCUCCGAGGAAAAACUGCACGAAGUCAAGUACAUAAUGUCAUUUGUUGACUGCAUCCGGAACGUGGUCCUGCGCUCAAGGAAGGCGGCCUCGGAUUUGUUUCCCAUCACCCCUCUGAUAGCUACCAAGGUCAAAAAUGUCAAGGAGGGUUGCCGCAACAAGUGUCACUCCCAGCCGAAUCUGUGCUUAAUCGGAUCCCGGUGCAUCAGUCACUACUAUGGCUUCUCCUGUGAUUGGUUCGGGAGCAAGUAUGAGGGCAAACACUGUGCUAUUUAUUGAAAUAGUAAACCAUCGAUAGAUCCGAAAAGGUCAAUAACCCAAUAAUACGGACAAAGGCCAGCUGGUUCUCAAAUGAAACCAGGAAACCUACAUCAAACAUGGGGAACUUAGCAUCGGGCAGCAGAAAGUUAGCCAUCUAAGCGGCACUCACCGGAGAUAUGACUGGGAAACGAAAUACGAUAUUUUUCGAUGAUGGUGAGGAAGAAGAUGGUUAACCUGGAAAGCCUAAACGAACCAAUUCGAAAGCUAAAAUCGAUGCAACUCAUAAAUGCUGAGGCAAACUGAAUGGCUGCACUUAAAGGUUAGGUUGGUUUGUUUUUCGUCUCCAUGGGCCAGGAAUAGAGAGAAUAGUAACCACAGCAUAAUGAUCAUAGCCCACCAAGUAAAUGAUAUUACCAAGUUUACAUCUUCCUGUAGUUUCCUGUGGUAUCUAAAGUUACUUGAACCAACAUCUAGUAAAGCAGUUUCCGAAAGUUCUUUCGCUGCCUUCGUAGGAGCAGUUGGUGCCUGAAGAUAGUCUUGUCGGCAUCGCUGAACAUCCAUCUGAUAACGCUGUUUCCGGAAUUAUUUUUUAUGCACAAGCGGGAGAAGAAAAAUUUCAUCAUUCAAGCCAGGGCCAGACCACUUAUGGCCAACUUCAGAGCAAAGGAGCUCAAGGCGUUGCAACAUUGUGACCGUGUUCUGAAAGUGUUCAGAAAUACGAAAGACUAUACAGCCAACCUUCGAAAAAGAGAAAACGACUUAAGAAGCUUUUCCUGGGAAGGAAGCUUCAGAGUGACGGAAUUGCCAGAACCGCUAAGAAAGUCAGGUUUCGGAUCUUUCAGCUAAGCUGAAAUCCUCUACGGAACUAAUUUCGAAAAACGGCGUUCUAAAGAUGGUGUGAGUUUAUUGAAAUUGUUCCAUGAAAAGUGAUUUCCUUCGUAGCAGCAUACCUGGCGAUAAUGUUAUUGUUGACUUUGGAGAAUCAAAUCAAUAACUAUUAAAGCUUUUUCCGAAUUGCUUUCGUAGCCUGCGUAGCACUGGUUGAACAACUAGAAAAAAAUGACUUCACACUGUCGGCAGGGAUUUCUAUCGAAAUCAGAAUUGAAGUCCGAAGACCAAAUUUUAUUCAAUUGUUCAACAGAAAAAGUCAUCGGUUUCCAGCAACCAAUACAAAUGUUCUUAUAUCAUCGGACAUUUCAUUAAUGAAAGUAUUCGGGCCUUCCAAAUUAAAAAAUACCUACCUAUACACACCUGCACAAGAUGACGAUAGCCACCUGUUGUAUUACGACUACCGGAAGUCGCUUGUUGUAAAUUUGAGGGAACUACAGGCGCGAACUGGUGUUAGUUGAUGCACUGAUGCUAAGUAAUGGAACAUAUCGAUUACGAAAAUAAGAUUGAAAUAUUUUUAAAAAUUCUCUACGGACGGUCUGGUUGCCAAUUGUUUGCUGGACAAGACCGUCGAUCUCCUAGAGGGCAACUGGAUAUCACUAAGGAGCUAGAAGUUGGGUCUAACAAAAUCGAGCAUUGGGACCACCGAAACACCAUAGGCAAGUCCUGGACCUGUUUGAGGAAAUUCGAUCUGGCUUACUGUGUGUCCAAUUUGGCCUAUCGAUCACCUAUCUGGCAUAUCGAUCAUCAAUCCUGCGAUCGAUCAUCAAGUAAAUCCUACUCCCCAGAAGAAAUUUCCAUCGCAAGAAAAAAAAAAAAAAUUGUGGUUAAAUUUUUUUUUAUUGGCCCCAAAAAUUUAUUAAAAUUAUCCGAAAAAAUUAUUUCGUUGUUUUCUUAAAAAUUUUAAUCUGAAAAAAACUUAUAACAACAGGGUAGAAAAGCAACAAAAACAACAGGGCAAAACGUUCGGAUUUUUUGACCGAUUUCGAUCGGAAAACCGUCAAGUUUCAGCUUGGAUUUUGGUAAAAAAUCUAACCGAUUUCCGUCUUGAAACGACCCGGUUGUUUUGACAGCUCACUCGCAAAAACUUAUCGUCGUCAGGAAAGUUGUUUCACCAGGGCACUGAAUCCGUCCGAAUUCGGUGGGAUUUCUCGUACGAUUUCUAACCGAUUCACGGGUUGAACCGACCGAAACCCAACCGAUUUCGGUUCGUUUUUCCGAUCCGGGGUGUCUCGGGUUAACACCUGGGAUAGCACUUACCGGUACUGGUGCUCUUAAGGGGUAGCCAAAAGUUAGCGUGUAAACAAAUCAGAAGUGCUGCCAGGUGUACUGAUUUUUAGAUUACGAAAACUUUUUUUAAUAAUAUUUGCACAUGUUUACUUAGCUGUUGAGAACGUUGUAAAAAAUGAGUUCUCCAUAACAGAUGUGUGAACUUAUUGAGGGAUUCUGUAUGACAUGUAGAAAAUCUUAAAUUAUGCCGUACUGAUCGACAACAUCAUUGAUAUUAUGUCGCCAAGGGCAACAAGACAUUGAAUAAAGCGACUAUAAUCGAAAUCCGUUUUACGUACCAUUACUGCAUUUGUAAUUCAUCAAUGCACAAAAAUUAAUUGAUAUAUUAAUUUAUGUGUAAAUACUUCUGGAAAACCCGUUUGGCAUCUUUGGUUUUCGUUGCAUUUUGGUGUGUCUGAGUGAGAUUAAAUGGACGCUAUGUGAAAAGGUUCGAGUUCAAUUUUACGAUGU